rnacentral:rRNA from 1 species
UGGUGGAGCGAUUUGUCUGGUUAAUUCCGAUAACGAACGAGACUCUAGCCUAUUAAAUAGUUCGCGGUUCCUGAGUUAGCCGUUGGUGUGGCGUAGUGUUGGUUGGCUUCGAUCGGCUGGCCUGCGUCCGCUUUCGGCCCAGACCGCGCUAACUUCUUAGAGGGACAAGUGGCGUUUAGCCACGCGAGAUUGAGCAAUAACA